AUGACAACACUGGAAACUGAAGCCCUCUUUCUAUCCACAGAACCAGUAAAGCAAAGGCAGCAGGCAAGCAAAUGUCCAUACCAAUGUAUAUUAAUCUUGAUGUACAGGAACUACCUUAAAUGGGAAUAAAAGAGUCUUUCUAUUUUCCAUAUCUAAGAAAGCAUAAA
rnacentral:sRNA from 1 species